rnacentral:rRNA from 1 species
GACGUGGUGCUGUGGUCAACCUUUUAGGAUUGUACUGGAGGGCCUAGUCUUUUUUUCUAGAAGAGCUAUUAGCCUUAACGGGUGUGUAGAGAUUUCUAGGACGUUUACUUUGAAGAAAUUAGAGUGUUUAAGGCAGGCUUGAGCUUGAAUACAUUAGCAUGGAAUAAUAAAAUAGGACAUUGGUUUUAUUUUGUUGGUUUUAAAGACCAAGGUA